rnacentral:rRNA from 1 species
CUAGCAAGUCCAACCCAACAAAAAGAAUUUUACUGGCCUCCCCGAAACCAGACGAGCUACCUUGGGGCAGCAAUAUGACUAAACCUCCUCUCUGUGGCAAAAUAGAGGAAAGAUCCCAAAGUAGUAGGUGAUAAGCCUACCGAGCCUGGAUAUAGCUGGUUACUUGAAAAUGAAUUUAAGUUCAACUAAAGGCAAACAAACCAACAAGGAAAAUUUACACCUUUAUUUUAACCAAUUAGGGUACAGCCUAAUUAGUAAGGGGAACAACCCCUACAAAUGAGUAAUGAUUAUAUAUAUAUUAGAAUACACAGCCCAGUAGGCUUAAAAGCAGCCAUCAUAAUAAUAUCGUCAAAGAUUAACUUAUGUAUAUUCCACUAUCUCAAUAAUAAUCUAAGCUCAACAACACAAUCAAGUUAAUCUACCUAUAGAUAAAUUAUUUCUAGAAUGAGUAAUAAGGAAACCCUCUAUAAUAUGUGUGUAAAUCGAAAUGGAUGCACCGCCGAUAAUUAACGACUAUUUAUAAUAUAUGACAAGAACAUAAAUUUUUUUUACCGUUAACCCGACACAGGAAUAUUAAAGAAAAACUAAAAGUGUGGAAAGGAACUCGGCAAAU